rnacentral:rRNA from 1 species
UGGGGAAUAUUGCACAAUGGGCGCAAGCCUGAUGCAGCCAUGCCGCGUGGAUGAAGAAGGCCUUCGGGUUGUAAAGUACUUUCAGUCGGGAGGAAGGUGGUAAGGUUAAUAACCUUGGCAAUUGACGUUACCGACAGAAGAAGCACCGGCUAACUCCGUGCCAGCAGCCGCGGUAAUACGGAGGGUGCAAGCGUUAAUCGGAAUUACUGGGCGUAAAGCGCACGCAGGCGGUUGAUUGAGUCAGAUGUGAAAUCCCCGGGCUUAACCCGGGAAUUGCAUCUGAUACUGGUCAGCUAGAGUCUUGUAGAGGGGGAUAGAAUUCCAUGUGUAGCGGUGAAAUGCGUAGAGAUCUGGAGGAAUACCGGUGGCGAAGGCGGCCCCCUGGACGAAGACUGACGCUCAGGUGCGAAAGCGUGGGGAGCAAACAGG